AAAAAUGCGGAUGGGAGGCAACGCCGUGCGGCCGGGCAGCUGGGUAAUGAUACGUGUCUGCGCCCGCAUCCCGCCCGCGGCACUGCUGGCCUUAGCCUGCGACCAUUAACGCCUCUCUGCGAAAGAUUUAAGGCGAUUUCGCAAGCAGGAAUUCUAGCGCUGCACUGGCUCCCCGCGCAGAACGCGUCUCACUCAAGGAUACACCUGUGGCAGCUUCAAACUCUACAAGCUGAACAACAUUCCAAGUCAUUGGUUUGCUUUACACAUAUUCCAAGACUGAGGAAAAACAGUUGUCACAAUGGGCAGCUUCAGACAGGCAGCAUUCAACACAUCUGCAAGACAACUUGAGAUGAACAAACUCCUCCUAUGGAAAACAUUCUCAAAACCAUCCAUGAAUCACAACAUAAAAGUUUAUGAAAAAAAAAAUCGUGUAAUUUAAGCACAUGACAAGUAUGAUAGAGUGCAU